rnacentral:rRNA from 1 species
GAUGAACGCUAGCGGCAGGCUUAACACAUGCAAGUCGAGGGGCAACACGGGUAGCAAUACCUGGUGGCGACCGGCGCAAGGGUGCGUAACGCGUGAGCAACAUGCCCUAUACAGGGGGAUAAUCCAGGGAAACUUGGUCUAAUAUCCCAUAGUAUUUAGAGGUGGCAUCACCACUAAAUUAAAGCUUCGGUGGUAUAGGGAUUGGCUCGCGUGACCAUUAGCUGGAUGGUGGGGUAACGGCUCACCAUGGCGAUGAUGUCUAGGGGUUCUGAGAGGAAGACCCCCCACACUGGGACUGAGACACGGCCCAGACUCCUACGGGAGGCAGCAGUGAGGAAUAUUGGACAAUGGAUGGAAAUCUGAUCCAGCCAUGCCGCGUGCAGGAAGACGGCCUAUGGGUUGUAAACUGCUUUUAAUGGGACUAAUAGGUUUACGCGUAGACCGAUGAGAGUACCAUAUGAAUAGCAUCGGCUAACU